CAGUCCCCUAUAAGGAGCUGCAGUUCUACAGAAAUCGCUGCGAUUCCAUUGAAUGACUUAAAGAGCAACACCUCACAGCUGUCUCGCAUCUCAAAGAGCCCUGACUCCACAUAUCCUUAAAAUAUGUCUUUCAAAGGCUUAUACACACUCAUCACAUCCACUCGUCUGCCAAGACAAACACUGCAACAGUAUACUGCAUAGAUCAGAAAAACAAGCAAGUGCAAUUAUGGUGGACAGGUGACUGAUGAUAAGGACCGCAGGCUGCUGAUGUCUCUCCUCUCCAUCUUCUACAGCUGGGAGCUCAUUGAACAGGAAAUCUACCAUGUGUGUGAGGGAGAUUUGUACUAUGUACCAUCACAUGGUCCAUACCAGAGCUAUGUGGAAUACAUCCGCAACCUGCCAAUCAGUGCCGAGCCUGAAGUAUUCGGCCUCCAUAGCAAUGCUAAUAUCUCCAAGGACAACCACGAGACCAGUCAACUUUAAGACAGGGUGCUGCUGACCCUACCAAGACAAACAAGAGGCGGAGCCAAAUCACCACAGGUGGGAGGAGUCACAGAGUUCUCCAUUGCAUUUUGGAAGGAAGAUUACCUGCAGCACCCAGAUGACUGGUGAACAUUUAUUUUUAGCCUGGAUGUGUGGUCAUUUUUCAGAAAUAUUUGACCACUGAAUGCCGUGAUUGACCAAUCAAAAUCAAGUAUUCCAGAGAGCCAUGAAAUAAAAAUCAUGCAUAAGUAAUGACUGGCAGUUUAUUGUAAGCAGAUGGUAUUGGUCUUUCUGGCAGCGGGUUUGUCUGUGUCCAUAGGAAGUAAUAGAUGAGUUGGCUGAGGGAAUGCUGUCAAAACUGCCCCCCAAUUUGACGUCAAAAUGGUGACAAAAGGAGGGGGGGGGGUAUUUUUCUUACCCCAUUGGUAAGUAGAUUUACCUGCUUAAUUAAGUCCAUUUAUCUUGUUUUAAAGAUGUUAGCUAUAUUGAGAAUUGAAGUCCACUGCUUUUCAGGCCAUCACAUAUGGUGCGGAGAAGCUAUUUGAAUACCCAGAGAGCACUUAGAGGGCAGGAUGUGAUGUCAGCAGAGCUGGAGGAUGUGUUCAACCAGGGGCGUAGAUUCUGGGGGGAUGGGGUAUAUCCCCUCCCCAAUUAUCAAAACAAGCAAUUACAACCCCCCCAAUAUUUAUACCAUAAUCAAUGGAAACAUAUAAAUGUUUCACGCUGCAACCCCGCCAAUGGUCAAGCCAAAUCUACGCCCUUGUGUUCAACAGUCUGCUCGUGGGGAAAGUUCCAGCCAUGUGGGCUGCAAAGUCCUACCCCUCCCUCAAACCGCUCGGGAGCUACGUGUCUGACUUUCUCGCCAGGCUAUAAUUUCUACAGGUGAGCAAACAGCAACAGCGCUACUACUUUGGAAAACUUUGAUUUACUAAACAAAUACUUUCAAAACUAAAUAAAUUCUUUGCCCGUUAGGACUAGAUUGAUAACGACCCUCCGUCAGUGUUCUGGAUAUCUGCGUUCAAUUUCACGCAGUCCUUCCUAACUGUACUUUGCUCGCAAGUACACCAUCCUCAUCGACUACAUUGGCUUUCAGUUUC